rnacentral:rRNA from 1 species
GAUGAACGCUGGCGGCGUGCCUAAUACAUGCAAGUCGAGCGAACGGACGAGAAGCUUGCUUCUCUGAUGUUAGCGGCGGACGGGUGAGUAACACGUGGGUAACCUACCUAUAAGACUGGGAUAACUUCGGGAAACCGUAGCUAAUACCGGAUAAUAUUUUGAACCGCAUGGUUCAAAAGUGAAAGACGGUCUUGCUGUCACUUAUAGAUGGAUCCGCGCUGCAUUAGUUAGUUGGUAAGGUAACGGCUUACCAAGGCAACGAUGCAUAGCCGACCUGAGAGGGUGAUCGGCCACACUGGAACUGAGACACGGUCCAGACUCCUACGGGAGGCAGCAGUAGGGAAUCUUCCGCAAUGGGCGAAAGCCUGACGGAGCAACGCCGCGUGAGUGAUGAAGGUCUUCGGAUCGUAAAACUCUGUUAUUAGGGAAGAACAUAUGUGUAAGUAACUGUGCACAUCUUGACGGUACCUAAUCAGAAAGCCACGGCUAACUACGUG